CGUAAGUGUAGCCUUCGCCGAAGAAGUACUUGUUGCGCAGUGGGGCCCGGUCCACCGUGUGCUCGUUGUACAGGCCCUUCUCAGCGCGGGACACCACCUCGUCAAUGCGGGCCUCGAUCUUGGCGCACUCGUCCUGGCUGAAGAGGCGCAUCUGGCGGAUGCCGCUCUUCACCUUGCGCGCCUCCUCCUCCUUCUGCAGCUGCUGCUCCUCAUAGUCGCUGCGCUCGGGGUCCGAGUCCUCCUGAUACUUGCGCUUGGCCCCGGACACAGGAUGGAGUUUCGCUCUGUCGCCAGGCUGGAGUGCAAUGGCGCGAUCUCGGCUCACUGCAACCUCCGCCUCCCAGGUUUAAGCGAUUCUCCUGCCUCAGCCUCCCGAGUAGCUGAGACUACAGAGAUACCAGGGUUGUGCGCACACAGAGGAAAGGCCAUGUGAGGACACAGUGAGGACAGCUGUCUGCAAACCACCAAAGAAACCAAACCUGCUGACACCUUGACCUUGGACCGCCAGCCUCC
rnacentral:lncRNA from 1 species